rfam:Populus trichocarpa scaffold_8_contig_236, whole genome shotgun sequence.
UCUAGAACUCGAGAUAUGGGAUGAACACUGAACAAUGUCUAGGCUGCAGGAUAGAUUCCGACUUCUCUUUUGUUACUACAAUGUGAACUCGAAAACGACCAUUUUGAAUCUUGGACUUUUAGGCCUAUGUCUUAGCUUUCCAUC